rnacentral:rRNA from 1 species
UACAGGGGGGGGCAAGCGUUGUUCGGAAUUACUGGGCGUAAAGGGCUCGUAGGCGGCCAACUAAGUCACACGUGAAAUCCCCAGGCUUAACCUGGGAACUGCGUGUGAUACUGGAUGGCUUGAAUCCGGGAGAGGGAUGCGGAAUUCCAGGUGUAGCGGUGAAAUGCGUAGAUAUCUGGAGGAACACCGGUGGCGAAGGCGGCAUCCUGGACCGGUAUUGACGCUGAGGUGCGAAAGCGUGGGGAGCAAACAGG